AGGACUGACCAACCUGAGAAUGG
rnacentral:miRNA from 1 species